AGAGGAAAAUUAUGAAUCCCAUUCAGACAUCACGAUCACCAGUGAAGUCAGCUUUGCUGCCAAGGAGGGAGAAGGGAUCCAGCUCCCAUUGUCCCAAAUGGAUCCAAGUGCAAAAACAGAAGAGGAAAAGGAAACCGUAGAAGAAAUAAUGCUUUUAUUUAAUAACACAGACAGGACAUUUUCAGAUAUGACACAGAGCAAGGAGCACCACCUGGUCUGCAGUGAUCUCCUUCUGUUUAUAUUGCUGCAUUAAGUUAAUGAAAGACUGUGAGCAAGACCAAACUUUAAAACGCCUUGGGAAUUCUCUCCCAGCAUGGAUGAGUUUUGUGUCUAGGUUGUAGAACAGUUUGUUCAAAACUACAGUUUUGAAACUGUAGUUCAGAAUACUUCCAGAAAGGGAUCUCCCAGCAGGCAAUUGUUUUAAAAUGGACUAAUGUUUGGAAUAAACAUGGAAUAAAAUGGAAUCAUUUCAA